GUAAAUCCAUCUUGAGCUAUUUUCCUUGAAUGGUAUAAUACAACAAUGUUUGAUUCUGAUCUCAGCAUUACUUUUCAGUUGCCUACAAUAUUGUUGGAUUCCUUUCUCACAUCAAAAUAUAGGUAAACUACUGGUCUUCAUAAUCGACUGCAAGAGAAGAAAAGCUUAAUUACCUGAAAAAUAUAUCAGAGUGAAGGCACUUAUUCCAGGUUUCGCAUAUUCUAUCAUUGCAGCCUUAGUUCCAUGGUUCCACCCAA